AUUGAAUGCUAGCGGGAUGCUUUACACAUGCAAGUCGAACGGCAGCGCGGACUUCGGUCUGGCGGCGAGUGGCGAACGGGUGAGUAAUGUAUCGGAACGUGCCCAGUAGCGGGGGAUAACUACGCGAAAGCGUAGCUAAUACCGCAUACGCCCUACGGGGGAAAGCAGGGGAUCGUAAGACCUUGCACUAUUGGAGCGGCCGAUAUCGGAUUAGCUAGUUGGUGAGGUAACGGCUCACCAAGGCGACGAUCCGUAGCUGGUUUGAGAGGACGACCAGCCACACUGGGACUGAGACACGGCCCAGACUCCUACGGGAGGCAGCAGUGGGGAAUUUUGGACAAUGGGGGCAACCCUGAUCCAGCCAUCCCGCGUGUGCGAUGAAGGCCUUCGGGUUGUAAAGCACUUUUGGCAGGAAAGAAACGUCGCGGGCUAAUACCCCGUGGAACUGACGGUACCUGCAGAAUAAGCACCGGCUAACUACGUG
rnacentral:rRNA from 1 species